GGGGGGAACCGCCGCAGCCUGCCGCAGCUCCGCCGGCACCGGCACCGGCAACCCCCGGGGGUGGUACCGGCGGGGCCGGGAGAAAAUGUGCUCCGACCGGGCUGGCGGGGCUGCCAGGUCGGCUUCGCUCCCCCCUUCCCCCUCCUGGAGCCCGUCCAGCCCCUCGGCCUCGUGUCCGGCACCGGUGACUAAUGGCCAAGUAAAUGGGAUAGAUUGGGGGCUGUCACCAUAAAUCACGGCGCCGCGCUGCAGGUGAGGUUUCCAUCGGCCGGGAGGGACAGAGCCGGAGCCGAGACCCCCAGAGGGACCAAAAACCACCGGAUCGAGUGCCAGGAGAGCCGGGAGCACCGUGCCGUUGGCUGAGCGGGCUGGUGGGCAACAGUCCCGCCGCACCUGCCUGCACUACGCCUGGCGCCGGCCCAUGCUCCAUCCACUCACCUUUUAAUAGAAAAAACCCUUUCCCAGGCAAUAAUAUUCGAGUUGGCAAAUAUUUACCGCCCUCCCUCCUCCCCUCACCAGAAACACUCGAUGCCUUUUGCAUUUAUCACUACUGACCUACAUUUUUUUUCUGGGAGCCUUUUGUGAAGCCGCUGGCUCCCCCCACGCUGGCCGGCACGUCCUCGCCGUCCCCCCAUGGCCCGGGGACCCGUCACCCCGUGUCCCAACCCCGCAGAGCCCAUCCCUUGUGCUCAAGCACCCCCUUGACAUCAACGGUGGUUUUUUUCCCCUCUCUAGAGAUCGGCAAACUCCGCGGCAGGACUUUUUGUGCUUCCCAAAGCAAACAGAGGUGGGAAGGUGCGGCCGCCCCGCUGCGAGGGAUGCUCUUGAGCGAAGGGGUUGUGCUGGGGGGGUGGCAGGGAAGGGGUUAAGCGGGUUAUAAAUUACCCAUGGAUGUGGAAAUGUGACUGAGAGGAAUAUAAAGAAAACUCUGACUGCUGGA